CGUCUCCCCAGCCCCAGCCCCCACCGGACAAACCCUAGCCUCACAUCCCGCACUCCUCCCUCCUCCUCCUUCCUCGUUAGCCGCCGCCGCCACCGUUCUGCCUUCCUCCUUUCUGUCCUACAACCAUGCCGUCGGGAGGAAGCCGUCGUCCGUGGCGCCAUACCGCUGUUGGGGUGCUGCGCACGCUUCGUUCCCCACAGCCCCUCCCUCAUCCUCGGUCGUCACCGCCGCUGCCUUCUACUCCCCUCCACCAUCGUUGCUGCUUCUAGGUCGAAUCUGGCGUUGGUGGGUCGGAGCUCGAGCUAGAGGCCGAGAUGGGGAAGGUCAAAAAAGGAGACCGGAUGGAGGUGCUCGAGGCCGAGGAAGCUGGAGAUGCACAACUAGCUUCACUGGCCAUCCGGUGGUUGGAGCACGGGGCAACGCUCCAGUUGCGAUGGGGUGAAGCUGCGCAGGAGGGGAAGGAGGCUCGCGACAGGGAGCCGGGCCAGGGAGGAGGCAAGGUCUGUGUUGCCCCGUGUUUUUUCUCUUCGCAUUUUUCUCCUACCAUGCAUGUGUUUGUUGCCAGAGUGGAUCCAUGCCACCAAAUUCUUGGAUAAAUAAUGAGUGCCAAGAUAUGUAUGCUGACAUGUGAGUUCAUUAUUUGGAAAAAAUAUAAUCAUUAUAUUUGUAUUGCAAACAAUUUUUAUGUUUGAAGCAACCAAUUUUGUGAAAAGAGUAGAGAGAAAGAUACAUGUGCAAUUUCCUUGAUGUUACAGCAGAUGGAUAGUCGAUCUUUAAACAUAAGCACAGAUGAAUAGGUAAAAAUUCGGGGAAAGACCAAUGAAAUAGUUGUAUGUCUGUCAAGCGAAUAUGAUUGUACCCAAAUGUGAUAUAUGAUAUGAAGUAUUAUUUAUAUUUACUAUUUAGGAUGUAUGCAUAUAUGUUACUGGAUAGCAUGAUACUGUUAGCAGAAGCUGUAGUACUUUUUAUGGUCGACGGUGGCAUGCCGCUCCAAGCCACACUGCUUUCCAUCGAUGCCGACAACCACAACAGGGGUGGAUCCAGCCGCCAAGAGGCACAGCGGUGGCCAACGGCGGUGGCCUGCUCCCAAGCUAGGGAAUUACGUGGUUUUGGGUUUGUGAAAUUCCACCACCCUAAGGGUGUUGCAUAUGCUAACCAAGAAAUGAAUCAUCAAGUUAUUUGCGGUCGAGAGAUUACAAUGGUUUUUGCCGAGGAGAAUAGAAAACCCCCACAAGAAAUGCGCUUCAGAACAAGAUCAAGAACUAGCUUUGUUUAUCAAAUGCUCAGGUUAGUACGCAUUGGUUAACAAUGGAAGGGUCAUUGUGGUGCCUGUUGGGCCUUUGAUGUUGUGGAGUGUCUGCAAGAUCGUUUCUGCAUUCCUAACGGCAUGGACAUUUCACUUUCCGUCAAUAAGCAUUUAUCUCCAUGUUAACUUGGUGUAAGGUAGUCUUGAUGAUGUGUUGAGGCGGUCUGCUCAGUGACCGUUAGUAAGGUUGCUCAUCUGCAAGCGAAAGAGCUUUGUGCAUUCUUGCAUGACUAAGGAAGAAAUUUGUUAUUUGAAGUAUGCACUACAGAUAUUGCAAGCACAGGGGAGGAGAAUGGACUAGUGAUGGGCCUGAUAAUACCAUUCUUCAGGAGUUCCAAGAUAAUCUUCUCCAGGAUUUCUUUUUGAUGCUGAGGAAUUCUAUAUGGCCUUUGGUUAACCACUUUUGCUCCCUCUACCAAAGGAAUUCUACGAUCACAGGGCCUACUUGGUGGAAGUUCAGUAGGUUCCUGAAAUAGUUUCUCAUACUGAUCCAACAGUGGUUUGAAUGCAGCAGGAAUCUCUUGAGCAGCUGCUACCAUUUGAGGACCAGAAGUAGUAAACAAGAAGAAUCCACACACAGCUUGUUCCACUAAUUUCUCAGUGUGGUCAGUUACUUCAGUAACAGUAGUAAGAGUUGGAAGCAGUUGUUUGGGCUGUUCAAAAAUGACUUAUCUUUUUGGUUGAGGAACAUACUGCUUAUUUUGCACUGACUGAGAGGAAGGCUGAGAUUUCUCCAUUCUUCUGGCAUACCACACUGCAGUUUGCAGAUCUUUUGGUUUAAAACAUUCCACUAAACUUCUGAUGUAAGGGUUGAGGCCUGAGACAAAGCUGGAGACAUAAUAGUCAUCAGGUAUAGCAGGGUUUUCUCUCCUCAUUCCAUUGACCAAUUGCUCAAAUUGUUCCACAUAAGCAGCCAUUGUUGUUGCUUGAUGUGCAGCAUGAAAGUUACUUACCACAUCACAAGCUGAUUCCACAGAGAACCUAUCAGAUAGGUAAGAACAGAAUUUAUGCCAUGGCACAUUGGCGGGUGCAUAUCCAGUACCCCUCCACCACUGAAUAGCAGGUCCUUUAAGAUAAGAAAUUGCCAGUUCUGUUCUAUGUUCAAUGGGAGUUCUUGCAGCAGCAAAAUACUGUUCCAAAUUCUGAAUCCAUGACUCAGGAUCUUGUCCUUCAAAUUCUGAUAUGUUCAACUUAGCAGGCUUAACAGUCAGAACAUUCCUUUUUCUGUAAUAAUUCUCAACUCCAUCUUCCUGUAUUUCCUCCAACUGAAUUACAUUUCUCUGCACUGCCUGAAACUGUUCCUUGUCCUUACUCUGACCAUAGUGUGGGUUCCUGUAGGGAACCUUAGGAGUCCCAUCCAUAUUCAGUUCCUUACCAGCCUGAUCACGCAGAACAGCUGUCCCAAUUGGAAAAGGGGCAACUUUGUCAGGCAUUGCCACCGAUGGUGGUGUAGGAGCUUGGAGCUGCUUGGGCCUACCCGGAGCUACCUGAGGUGAGUUAACAUGGUUGUCCUUAACCUGCACACUGCCUUGGCCUUCUUCAACCUGAUCCUCCUGUGCUGGCUCGGGUUCUAACAACAGACGCCUGAAAUUGUCCUGAAUUUUCUCAAAGUUCUUUUGCAUCGUUGCAAAAUUUCUGUUUACAGAUGCCUGAAACUGCCGGAACUCCUUGCGAUCCUCUUCUCGCUCCCGCUGGAACGUUUUGAUGUCCAACUCAAGGGAAUCCAGCUACAAUUCGGCCGUUGACCCUGAAUCCAUCGGGCCCGUCAUCUUGAAAUCGUCGGCAAUCAACACCAUAGAGGGUUGGGAGGGUGGGAGGACUAGUCACCGCCGCCUACGCCGCCGCCAGCGCCCACCUCCGAUGGUACACGAGCAGAUCACAGGAGCUGGGAUUUCACUACCUGAAAAGUGUUCCCGGGCAACCAGACUGUUCUUCUGCUUGUACCCGAACUCUGCCACUCUGGCCGCCACCAGAUGCCACUGCCGCUAGAUCGGGGUGAGAUGAGGGAUUUUACAGCCGGAACCAACCUCUUCUACCCCCAAUCAACCAUGCCGCCGAGGAAGGACUGGCUCUGAUACCAAUUGUCAGGACCAGAGUCCCUCUGUACUGAAUUUAAGCACGAACUAGUAGGUUUCAGACAAGAAUUUGGGCGAAUUUAGCUAGGGUUUUCAUUGCAAGAGGAAGGGAAGGUAGUAGCACGCCACCGGCGGCUAGGGUUUACACCCAAUAAUUCUAUUACAUGCCUCGAAUGGAAGGGAAAGCUGGCUUAUAUAGCCAUUACAGUAGCUGUAAAGCAGAAAAGCAGAAAAGUGCAAGCACAUGGCUUGUCGGACGGUGAACAGCUUCUCCCGCGUCUUCUAAGCCGUUGGAUGGUUGAUCGACGGAGGAGAGAAACCCACUUAAGCGAACCGUUAGCUUGGCCCUGAGACCGUAGGAUUUGAGAUGGACGGCUGUCAAUGCAACUGACAUGCAGGAACAGGGGAACUUGAGAACUGAGCCUGACAGGUGCAUAUCAGGGUAUACCUUUGGAAGAAAAAAUCAAUCAAAUGUUAAUUCUCCAAGGUAACUUGCCUUUUCUACGCAGGUUAAGGUCAUUCAUGAGGAGAGGUGUUGGGGCGGAGUCCCAGGUGUAGCUACUAUUGCCCUAUCAAUUCUGUAGUCACCUCUUUCUGAACAUUGGAAUUUACUGCAGGUCUGAUCCCUUGCUCGUGCUCUCUGCUUGUCCUCACUCUGUAGACCUUUCCUUUGCUCGUAGCCAUACAUUUUAUUCAGAGUGCUGUCAAGACGCAUCUCCUCUGCCUAUAUGGCGGGCAGAGGGCCUAAGCUCUAGCUUAAACUGAAAUCAAUGCAUGGUAUUGUUCAAUUCGAAGUGUACUUGACGUGUGCAGAUCUGAGGAUAAAGGGAAGAAGACGGAAUUUAGCUGAGGAGUUGAAUAGGAUCAAGGUUAUUAUUCCACAAUCAUUUGUUGGGUUUAAGGAUAUAAACAACAUGGCUUACGAGGAUUUGGACUGCUGUUCUUUUAGUUCCACUCUUAAAUCUUUUGGUUCUUGAAGGCCUGCACUUUCCUGGUGGAGUAAGAGCAAAAUAAUUCAGAGGCUUUAAAGCUGCUGCACUUUAGUAGUUAGGAUUAAUUCUUUGUUUUGGUUUGAAAUGCUCCCCAAUUCCUCCUAUUUGAUUGAUUCAUCUGAUGGUCAUUUGUCAGGCAAAUAAACAGAAAGCAUAUGUAUUGUUUUGAGUGAAGCCAUCCAUACAAGGCAAUAUAUUAAUUAUCCCAUAUGUGGAAUUCAAGAUAGAGAGAAAUGUUAUUGUUCUUCUGCUAAUUGGUUGCUUGACAAAUGUACUAUAAAUGAUGUUAUUAUUGUACGAGAUAUAGAGAAAUGUUAUUGUUCUUCAAUUA